UUAACGUCCCAUGGGUGAGUAACACGUGGGUAACCUGCCCAUAAAACUGGGAUAACUCCGGGAAACCGGGGCUAAUACCGGAUAACAUUUUGAACCGCAUGGUUCGAAAUUGAAAGGCGGCUUCGGCUGUCACUUAUGGAUGGACCCGCGUCGCAUUAGCUAGUUGGUGAGGUAACGGCUCACCAAGGCAACGAUGCGUAGCCCACCUGAGAGGGUGAUCGGCCACACUGGGACUGACACACGGCCCAUACUCCUACGGGAGGCAGCAGUAGGGAAUCUUCCGCAAUGGACGAAAGUCUGACGGAGCAACGCCGCGUGAGUGAUGAAGGCUUUCGGGUCGUAAAACUCUGUUGUUAGGGAAGAACAAGUGCUACUUGAAUAAGCUGGCACCUUGACGGUACCUAACCAGAAAGCCACGGCUAACUACAUGCCAGCACCCGCGGUAAUACUUAGGUGGCAAGCGUUAUCCGGAAUUAUUGGGCGUAAAGCGCGCGCAGGUGGUUUCUUAAGUCUGAUGUGAAAGCCCACGGCUCAACCGUGGAGGGUCAUUGGAAACUGGGAGACUUGAGUGCAAAGAGGAAAGUGGAAUUCCAUGUGUAGCGGUGAAAUGCGUAGAGAUAUGGAGGAACACCASUGGCGAAGGCGACUUUCUGGUCUGUWACUGACACUGAGGCGCGAAAGCGUGGGGAGCAAACAGGAUUAGAUACCCUGGUAGUYCACGCCGUAAACGAUGAGUGSUAAGUGUUAGAGGGUUUCCGCCCUUUAGUGCUGAAGUUAACGCAUUAAGCACUCCGCCUGGGGAGUACGGCCGCAAGGCUGAAACUCAAAGGAAUUGACGGGGGCCCGCACAAGCGGUGGAGCAUGUGGUUUAAUUUGAAGCAACGCGAAGAACCUUACCAGGUCUUGACAUCCUUUGACAACCCUAGAGAUAGGGGUUUUCCUUUGGGAGCAGAGUGACAGGUGGUGCAUGGUUGUUGUCAGCUCGUGUCGUGAGAUGUUGGGUUAAGUCCCGCAACGAGCGCAACCCUUGAUUUUAGUUGCCAUCAUUUAGUUGGGCACUUUAAGGUGACUGCCGGUGACAAACCGGAGGAAGGUGGGGAUGACGUCAAAUCAUCAUGCCCCUUAUGACCUGGGCUACACACGUGGUACAAUGGACGGUACAAAGAGGUGCAAGACCGCGAGGUGGAGCUAAUCUCAUAAAACCGUUUUCAGUUCGGAUUGUAGGGUGCAACUUGCCUACAUGAAGCUGGAAUCGGUAGUAAUCGCGGAUCAGCAUGCCGCGGUGAAUACGUUCCCGGGCCUUGUACACACCGCCCGUCA
rnacentral:rRNA from 3 species